GCGCGACGUGACCUGAAUCUUCAUCAGCCUGUGAAGGAGCUAGCCGGGGAGAGGGAGAUUGGGCAGGGAAUUGCGUCCGGUUACUACCUCGCCAUCACUCAGCCUAAACCAAAUUUCGAAGAUGCAUUCAGAUAGACAAUUUCCCAACUGAUUCAAAGGUGCCGGAAGAGGAAGGGUUCGCACAACUGCUGGCUGCCACUCUACAACAGCCCCAGGAAGAGGAAAGACAGCAGUAGAACAGUACUGAUGGAGAGGCUCCGUUACUUGUUCUGACACUUUGCAGCUACCAACUCAGAUAUUGGCUUUGCACAUGCCUUAGAAGGACAAGAUGGUGGACAACUACCGACAAUAGCAGCUAACUGGCAGGACAAAGGCAUGGCUGGAUAUCCUCAUCCUGAUGGAAGAAAAGGUUCUAUGAUGGAUGUGCGAUACACUCUGCCAAAUUACUGCCCAGGUGGUGAGGCGAAAAUCAUCCCUAUUUGUCAUUUUGAGACCAGUAUCACUAACAAUAUGCUUCUUUAUUUUUAUUGAAAGUAAGUCAGCACUAUGGUAAACAGAAUGUGAAACGACUGAUAUUGAGAUACAAAUGUGUUGCAGAGCUGGACAUGAUUAAAGGUGAAAGUCAGUAGCCUCUGUUGUAACUCUUUUCUCUGUUGACCACCUACUUUGACCAACAUUUGAUUCUUUGUUGCCAAAUUACACAUAAAGUAACUCAUAA